rnacentral:rRNA from 1 species
UACGUAGGGGGCAAGCGUUGUCCGGAAUCAUUGGGCGUAAAGCGCACGUAGGCGGCUUUUUAAGUCAGGGGUGAAAUCCUGGAGCUCAACUCCAGAAUUGCCUUUGAUACUGGGAAGCUUGAGUUCGGGAGAGGUGAGUGGAACUGCGAGUGUAGAGGUGAAAUUCGUAGAUAUUCGCAAGAACACCAGUGGCGAAGGCGGCUCACUGGCCCGAUACUGACGCUGAGGCACGAAAGCGUGGGGAGCAAACAGG